CUCACCUUCCUUAGUCAGGAUCCUCAGCCUUGCGGGAAAAAGAAGGGAUGGCUUAAAUCCAAGAUUGUAGAGCUCUGCCAUUACCCCUCGAUAUUGAGCUCGCUGUUCCAGAACCUCCGGACUGUAGUCAUAAUGGCGAUCGGGUUGCCAUGGUACUGCAAGGAUCCUCUUCUUUUACGGGCCUCGCGUAUCAAAAUUGCAACCUUCCUAUAAAUCCAAAUAUGCACAAGGUGUUUUAAAUAGGCUUGAUAUUAAUUUGUGGACACCAUCACCAGACCUAAUGAGACAACAGAUCUUCUCAAUGGGAACAUCCCAUUUCUUGCACCUGGAGAGGAGGGAAGAUGGACCAGUUAAGGGCAAAAAAAAUGACUGAGCUAAUCCACUCACUGGCUGCAACACUGUGCAACACUGCUCACUAUUCACUGCACAGGAAAUUCCAUAAAGAAGUGACAGUGGGUAUUCUGAACACUAAGUUGAGAAGCACUUGGCCCCGAGCUUUCGGACUGGACAGACCAUCAUUCAUCAGUCUCUCGCCACUGUCCUGCAAACCAAACCAUUCGAGGGGGAGCAGGGAGUAUAAGUGACUUCUCUGUCUUAAAAUGCAGCAACAUCAUACAUUUACUCUGGGCUUAUGCACAAAGAUGCACUUAAACUGAGAAAUGUAUUUAAAAUCAAGGGAUCCUGUGAGUUCUACGUGAUAAUUGUUUAAGUUUUAAGGCACACCUGUGUUCCCAUUUUGGAUUAAACUGUCAUUCUGUUUUUUUUUUUACGUCUGUAAUAAGGUCACACUAGAACAAUGAUCAAAGCAGUUUACAAUAAAACUUUAAGUUUUACACAAGCUGUGCUUGACUGUUAAGAUCAGUAUUACUGUAAUAGAGGCUACUGUUAUAUAAAUAAUGUGAAGCAGGA